CUUUCUCCCAACCCUCCCACGUUCCGGGAGGAGAAGGUUUUAUUAGCUUAUUAGGAAAGAUUCAUGCAUUUUGCAUGGUUGAACUGAAUAAAAAAGGAACUUCGUGCACAUUUGAAUUCGGAGGCAAGAUGAGAAGAAGUGGCAUUUUUUUUAAGUGACUUGCCUUGGGGAGAGCUGUUAAAACUGACAAAUUGCGUGACGCACAUCAUAAUACAAACAAAUGAAAAGAGUUGGCCCCAGCGGUUUUUAGACUUGCUUAUUGGAUUUUUGGAAAUAUGACCUGGUGCAGAGGGAAGAUGAAGGCAGGCAGCCCUACUGAGGCCAGAAUACGGUGGGCGGGGGAGCGGGCAACUGGCCGUGAUGUCAGCCUGAGCAUGUGCUGAGGACCAAUGAGAUGCCCAAGAGGGCAUGGAAAGGCAUCUGCCCCAUGGGUGAGCCCAGUUCGCCUCUGCAUGGACAUGCUGUGUGGCCCAGGGGAAGCCUCUGACCCUCUCUGAGCCUCAGUUGCCUCAUCUGUAGAGCAGGGACAACGACAUUCAUCUCGAGUCCUCGCAGGAAACCCACUGGGGUCACAUAAGGUGGGGACAGAGAAUGGACUAUUGGACCUAGUGACGUGAGGUUACUGGUGACCUUGACGAGAACCAUUUUAUUGGAGCAGCAGUGGACAAAGUCUGGUUCAUGUGGGUCUAAGAAGGAAUGGGAGCUACAAGUCACAACCCAAAGACAAACAACCCAACUCCAAAGUGGAGAAAGGGCUUGAAGAGGCAUUUCUCCAAAAAAGAUAGACAAAUGGCCAAUAAGCACAUGAAGAGAUGCUCAGGGGAACACAAAUCAAAAUAUGUCACUUCACACCUCCUAGGAUGGCUACAGCCCCAAGAUGAGAGACACCAAGUGCUGGUGAGUAUGUGGAGAAACAGAAACCCUGGUACUUUGCUGGUGAAAAUAGAGAAUGGUGUAGUUGCUAUGGAAAAUGGUACGGCAGUUCCUCAAAAAGCUAAACAUAGUACGGCCACAUGGCCCAGAAACUUCACUCCUAGGUACACACCCAAAAUAACUGAGAGAAGGGUCUCGAACAUGCUGGUAUGCCAGUGCUGACGGCAUCGUUAUUCAUGACGGCCCAAAGGUGGAGGCAACCCGAGUGUCCGUCAACAGAUGAAUGGAUAAAUAAAAUGCGGCCUACCCGUGCAGUGGACUAUUAUUCAGCAAUGAAAAGAAAUGAAGUUCCG
rnacentral:lncRNA from 1 species